AUACCAGCUCCAGACUUAGCUAUUCUUCCCCUAGCAUGGAUAGCUCCGUGCCUCCAGGCUCUACGCCUCCCACUGCGUGACGCAGUCUGAUGAAUGAAGCGGUACGAACGUGCAGCAACAUGGAAGAGGUCAUUCUGGACAUGACUCACUUCUUGAUGUGGGACAUCUGACAGCAGGAAAACCUGGGAAACCUACUAUUCCAACCUAGUUGUUUUCCAGUUGGCACGGCGUGGCGGCUGAGGUGACACUGCUUCGAAGUUCUGGCUCGCAGUCUACCUAAGGAGACAGCCUCGGGGGCAUUG